UACAGAGGUCUCAAGCGUUGUUCGGAUUUAUUGGGCGUAAAGGGUGCGCAGGCGGUGUGGUAAGUCUGGUGUGAAAUCCUGGGGCUCAACCCCAGAAAUGCACUGGAUACUGCCAUGCUAGAGGACUGGAGAGGAGAUUGGAAUUCACGGUGUAGCAGUGAAAUGCGUAGAUAUCGUGAGGAAGACCAGUGGCGAAGGCGAAUCUCUGGACAGUUCCUGACGCUCAUGCACGAAGGCCAGGGGAGCAAACGGGAUUAGAAACCCCCGUAGUCC
rnacentral:rRNA from 1 species